rnacentral:rRNA from 1 species
UGGGCCGCAACUGACGCUGAGGAGCGAAAGCAUGGGGAGCGAACAGGAUUAGAUACCCUGGUAGUCCAUGCCGUAAACGUUGGGCGCUAGGUGUGGGGCCCUUUCCACGGGUUCCGCGCCGCAGCUAACGCAUUAAGCGCCCCGCCUGGGGAGUACGGCCGCAAGGCUAAAACUCAAAGGAAUUGACGGGGGCCCGCACAAGCGGCGGAGCAUGCGGAUUAAUUCGAUGCAACGCGAAGAACCUUACCAAGGCUUGACAUAUACCGAAAACUGUUGGAGACAGCAGGUCCGCAAGGGCGGUAUACAGGUGGUGCAUGGUUGUCGUCAGCUCGUGUCGUGAGAUGUUGGGUUAAGUCCCGCAACGAGCGCAACCCUUGUCCUAUGUUGCCAGCGGUUCGGCCGGGGACUCAUAGGAAACUGCCGGGGUCAACUCGGAGGAAGGUGGGGAUGACGUCAAAUCAUCAUGCCCCUUAUGUCUUGGGCUUCACGCAUGCUACAAUGGCCGGUACAAUGGGCUGCGAUACCGUGAGGUGGAGCGAAUCCCAAAAAGCCGGUCUCAGUUCGGAUCGGGGUCUGCAACUCGACCCCGUGAAGUCGGAGUCGCUAGUAAUCGCAGAUCAGCAACGCUGCGGUGAAUACGUUCCCGGGCCUUGCACUCACCGCCCGUC